GCCUGACAGUGGCUUCUGAGUCUCCUCCUUGGUUCGUACUCUGGUCUAAGCAAGGAUCUGGAAUCUGGGCCUGUGCUUACAAAGAGACUAUGAAGCAGGUGGCAAAAGUGACUGUGCUCCUGAUCUUGGCCUCGUGGAGCCUUGCCAAGACCACCCAGCCCCUCGCCAUGGACUCCUAUGAAGGGCAAGAAGUGAAUGUGUCCUGCAGCCAUACAGACAUUGCUACAAGCGAGUACAUGUACUGGUACCGUCAGAUCCCCCACCAGGGCCCACAGUUUAUUAUUCAAGGAUAUAAGGACUAUGCGGCCAAUGAAGUGGCAUCUCUGUUUAUCUCUGCUGACAGGAAGCUCAGCACUCUGAGCCUGCCCUGGGUUUCCCUGACAGACAGUGCUGUGUAUUACUGCAUUGUGGCUGACACACAGUGAGACAGCUGGCUCUGCACCUGUGCAGUAUCCUGACGUGGAAUGGGAGUCAUAUUCUAGAUGGAAGUACAGACACAGUGCUUUGCAAAGUGCCACUGUAUUUUCAUUUUUAGAAGGUGUAAGCAUGCAUUCUUAUGUUACCUAAUUUUUUUGUUAUCUACUUUAGAAUUCACUCAAUUUUAAACAGGCAUUUCAGUUUAGAUGGUGUUAAAUUUAAAAAGUAUGAGGGCAGGAGCUGGGGAAAUGUUUCAGUGGUUAAGAGUACUUUUUGCUACAGCUGCUGCCCACAUCCCUGGAGACCUGUUGCCAGAGCAACCAGGUGAGAUUCCCCAAGCCUCAAAAUCUUUCUCACUGGGUCCCCUCCAAGCCCAGCAGCCCUGAGGUCUCUGCCCUGUACUCUCUUUGCUCCAUCUUCUGGUCCACACCUCUAACUACAAUCCCAGAGGCCUGCAGCCACCAGGGACCACCAAGAGAAGACCCUCUUAAACCCCUGCCCUUAAUUUCCUGCCUGCUGGCCCCUCCAGGCAAACCCAGCAGCAGCCAUCUUUGUCCUGGCCACUCUGCACUCCAUUUCCCAGACCACAGUUCUGCCUGCAUCCCUGGAGACUUGCUGCGACUGGGGCCAACCAGCUCUAUCUGCAAUUCCAUAGGCCUGCUCCCUUCAGGGACCACAAGGCAUCCAAACUCAAGGAACAACCAAUGGCUAAAAGACAGCAUAAGAAAAUAAUCAACAAAAACCAGGGCAAUAUGACACUACCGGAACCCAGCUAUCUUACUACAACAAGCCCUGGACAUCCUAAUAUACCUGAAGUAAAAGAAAAUGACCUUCAACAUAAUCUUAUGAAGAUGAGAGAGGCCUUUAAAGAAGAAAUGAAUAAAUCUCUUAAAGAAAUACAGGAAAAUACAAUUAAACAGGUAGAGGCCUUUAAAGAGGAAAUGAAUAAAUAUAAAAAAAAAUACAGGAAAAUACAAUCAAACAGGUGGAGAAAAAUGAAUAAAAUGGUUUAAGACCUAAAAACAGAAAUAGGAACAAUAAAGAAAACACAAAAUGAAGCAAUUCUGGAGAUGAAAAACCUAGGAAAGAGAACAGGAACAAGAGACUCAGACACCACCAACACAAUAUAAGAGAUGGAAGUGAGAAUCUCAGGCUUAGAAAAUUUGGAAAAUGCUAAAGCUAAAAAGUUUCUAACACAAAAUAUCCAAGAAAUUUGGGAUACUAUGAAAAGACCAAACCUAAGAAUCAUAGGAAUAGAAGAACAGUGCCAAUUCUAAGGCCCAGAAGAUAUCUUCAGUGUAGAGGAAAAUUUUCCUAACGUAAAGAAAGAGAUGCCUUUAAACAUACAAGAAGCUUACACAACACCAAAUAGAUUGGACCAGAAAAGAAAAUCCUCCUGCUACAUAAUUAUUAAAACAGUAAAUGAACAGAAUAGAGAAAAGAAUAUUAAAAGUCACAAGGGUUAAAGGCCAAGUAACAUAAAGGCAGACCAAAUAGCAUUACACCAGACUUCUCAAAAGAGACUUUAAAAGCCAGAUGAUCCUGGACAGAUGUCUUAUAGUCUCUGAGAGAUCAUGGAUGGCAGUCCAGACAAUUAUACCAAAUCAUUCGUACUAUGGCAAACCUUUCAUUCACCAUAGACAGAGAAAACAGGAUAUUCCAAGACAAAAGCAAAUUUAAACAAUAUAUUUCCAUUAAUCCAGCCCUACAGAAGGUACUAGAAGGAAAACUCUAACACAAGGAGAGUGAUUACACCCAAGAACAUUGGAAAUGAUAACUCCACACCAGCCAACCAAAGGAAGGGAAGCACGCACAGACGUGUGUGUGUGUGUGUGUGUGUGUUUUCGCAUGCGCUCACACACGCGCACCCCCAAUUCAUUUUCAUAAAAUAAAAUAAAAUAAAUAAAAAUAAAAUGAGAUAAAUAUUAUAAAAUAAAA